rnacentral:lncRNA from 1 species
GUUUGUUUCACAAAGAUGUAUUUUUUGUGUUUUCUAUGAAAAAAAUUGUAAACUUCAAGAAAAUUAGUUGAUUUUAUUGAAUUACUAUUGGUUAAAAGUUAUUGAAAAUUAAAAUUACAGAAAACAAUAUAUUUAUUAUGGUAGUUUAAUGUGUUUUCUUAAUAUGUGUGAAAACACUAAAAAAUCUAUCUUUGUGGAAUUGAGGGAGUAUAUUUUUAAGAAACAUUAAUUGAAAAUAUUUAAAUUGGUUAAAUAUUAUUGAUUGAUAAUUAUUGAGAAAUGUAUAAUAAAGUAAACGAUAAAUUUAAUUGUAAACAUUCAUUGCUCCCUUCAUAUCACUUUAAGUGGUGUUUAAGGAUUUUUAUUUUGUUUCAUAAUAAGUGAUGUUAUCACUAUUCUAGAUAAAAUUUAAUGUCAUUUAAAAUUUGUGACCAAUUACAAAAUAUUAUGUUUUUUUUCUUAUUGGUUGAACUAUUUUUAUUUAAUACGUAACUAAGAUAAACUAUAUAAAAAUUUGUAUUUUCUUAAUCUUUAUGAAAAAACCUUAAACAUCAAUUAAAAUGAUACAAAUGAAGUAUAUUCUUAACAUGCGUGAAUAUUCUAAAAAAAAAACUUUAUUUAGAAACGGAAAGAGUAUAUAUUUGGUUUCAGGUAUAUACAUUUUAGGGCAUCUUCAACUUUACUAUAAAAUCCACUCCAAACUCCAUUUUGCAGUAAAAUCAU